rnacentral:rRNA from 1 species
AACGUAGGAGACAAACGUUAUCCGGAGUUACUGGGCGUAAAGGGCGUGUAGGUGGUAGUGUAAGUCUGGCGUGAAAUUUUUCGGCUUAACCGGGAAAGGUCGUCGGAUACUGCACAACUAGAGGACGGUAGAGGCGUGUGGAAUUCCGGGUGUAGUGGUGGAAUGCGUAGAGAUCCGGAGGAACACCAGUGGCGAAGGCGACACGCUGGGCCGUACCUGACACUGAUGCGCGACAGCAUGGGGAGCAAACAGG